CUCUUUUAGUGAUUGUGUUAGGAUGAACAAACAAAAUUUGUAAAUUGUCUUUCCAUAGAAAAAUAUUAUCCAUUGUAUUUUGUGUUUGUGCUCGUUCUUCCCUCUCUCUUUGUGAUUGUUUUAGGAUGAAGAAAAAAAUAUAAUUUGUCCUUCCUUAGUAAAAAAUUGUCCCUUGUCUUUUGUGAUUUUGUUGGUCCUCCU
rnacentral:lncRNA from 1 species